rnacentral:rRNA from 1 species
AACGAACGCUGGCGGCAGGCUUAACACAUGCAAGUCGAACGAGAUCUUCGGAUCUAGUGGCAGACGGGUGAGGAACACGUGGGAACAUCCCUUUCAGUUCGGAAUAACGUUGGGAAACUAACGCUAAUACCGGAUACGUCCUUCGGGAGAAUGAUUUAUCGCUGAAAGAUUGGCCCGCGUCCGAUUAGCUAGUUGGUGAGGUAACGGCUCACCAAGGCUACGAUCAGUAGCUGGUCUGAGAGGAUGAUCAGCCCCAUUGGGACUGAGACACGGCCCAAACUCCUACGGGAGGCAGCAGUGGGGAAUAUUGGACAAUGGGCGCAAGCCUGAUCCAGCCAUGCCGCGUGAGUGAUGAAGGCCUUCGGGUUGUAAAGCUCUUUUGUCCGGGAAGAUAAUGACUGUACCGGAAGAAUAAGCCCCGGCAAACUUCGUGCCAGCCGCCGCUGUAA